AAAUUUGAGAGUUUGAUCCUAGCUCAGAAUGAACGCUGGCGGCAGGCCUAACACAUGCAAGUCGAACGGAGUUAUAUUGUAGCUUGCUAUGGUAUAACUUAGUGGCAGACGGGUGAGUAAUGUAUAGGAAUCUACCUAGUAGUACGGAAUAAUUGUUGGAAACGGCAACUAAUACCGUAUACGCCCUACGGGGGAAAAAUUUAUUGCUAUUAGAUGAGCCUAUAUUAGAUUAGCUAGUUGGUGGAGUAAUAGCCUACCAAGGCAAUGAUCUAUAGCUGAUCUGAGAGGAUGAUCAGCCACACUGGAACUGAGAUACGGUCCAGACUCCUACGGGAGGCAGCAGUGGGGAAUAUUGGACAAUGGGCGAAAGCCUGAUCCAGCCAUGCCGCAUGAGUGAAGAAGGCCUUUGGGUUGUAAAGCUCUUUUAGUGAGGAAGAUAAUGACGGUACUCACAGAAGAAGUCCUGGCUAACUCCGUGCCAGCAGCCGCGGUAAUACGGAGAGGGCUAGCGUUAUUCGGAAUUAUUGGGCGUAAAGGGCGCGUAGGCGGAUUAGUAAGUUAAAAGUGAAAUCCCAAGGCUCAACCUUGGAAUUGCUUUUAAAACUGCUAAUCUAGAGAUUGAAAGAGGAUAGAGGAAUUCCUAGUGUAGAGGUGAAAUUCGUAAAUAUUAGGAGGAACACCAGUGGCGAAGGCGUCUAUCUGGUUCAAAUCUGACGCUGAGGCGCGAAGGCGUGGGGAGCAAACAGGAUUAGAUACCCUGGUAGUCCACGCUGUAAACGAUGAAUGUUAAAUAUGGGAAGUUUUACUUUCUGUAUUACAGCUAACGCGUUAAACAUUCCGCCUGGGGACUACGGUCGCAAGAUUAAAACUCAAAGGAAUUGACGGGGACCCGCACAAGCGGUGGAGCAUGUGGUUUAAUUCGAUGCAACGCGAAAAACCUUACCACUCCUUGACAUGGAAAUUAUACCUAUUCGAAGGGAUAGGGUCGGUUCGGCCGGGUUUCACACAGGUGUUGCAUGGCUGUCGUCAGCUCGUGUCGUGAGAUGUUGGGUUAAGUCCCGCAACGAGCGCAA
rnacentral:rRNA from 1 species